UAGACAAAAAAAGUCAGUAGUAGUUUGGUUUUGUAGAUUCUUAAAGAGACUAAUCUCUGAUGGUUGUAGACAGUCAUUUAUUGCAUAAACAUUUGUUGAGAAAGUUCCAGCUUAAGAAUCCUGAUACUGUGCUGGGUGUUUUGAAACAAGUGAUAAAUCUGAUGUAGCUCCUUGUUUGCAUCUAAAGGAGUUCUCAGGAAAGAAGGUGAAAUGAGACAGAGACAUUCCAGUCUACAACCCAAAGAAAAAAGAGUGCUUCCAGUCACUGAACUGAACUGGAAACCAAUCAACAAGGGAAACCAGGAGAUGCAGUCCUUGAAGAUCAGCCUCCUGGCCACAAGAAGGGCAGGGGAAGAGAAUACAUAGAUCUGUAGAGAAGAGUGGUGAUGGGAGCUGCCAAUAAAGAACUAUCAAAAGAGACUUUACACCAGGAAGAGUUCCUUUUAAAAUUGGCCUGGGAGGCAGAGGCCACAACAUACACAGUUCAACGACCGAAGUACACCACCCACCUCCCAUUCCCUGCUCUACAGGACCAUCUGACGUCCACAGUGACCCAAGUAGUGGCAUUCCAAGGACUCAGAUGACCACCUUCCUCACCCUUCAAUAGGGCUGCCCAAAAUUCUUUGAAGUGACACUUAUUGCUACACAUUAGGGCAUUUUUACCUCACAUUUCCCUUCGCCAAGAGCAAAAGCUUAUGGAAUGAUUGGCUUUUCAAUCUAAAGAGUGGGAGAGCCUGGGGGGUUGAAGAGAGUCUGUUUGACGGGAGGAGAAUGCCAGUCCAGAGGUGGGGCUUGGGGCAGGAGGGAGUGGGUAGCCAGAGUAAUAGGGGCUAUGAGGUUUGGAAGAUGUGGGAGAGGCACUCUGCAAAGACAGAGGGGAGAGGCACAGAGACAAGGACAAAGGUGGUUUGCUUGCUCCGACAGCUGAAUUCACCCAGACAGGCUUCUGGGUUCACAGUGCCACCCUGCCCCACAAGCCAUAGAGGGGAACUGGUUGAUGGAUCAACCUUGAGUGAGUCAGAUUCAUUUUUUUCAGAGCAAAAGAAAACACUGAAAAAAAAGAGCUUAGCUAAUGUUUCCAGGGCAGCUUCAGAAACGUAUAACGUAUAGGAAACGAGAGUAUUGAUCAUAUCAGACCCUCCAAAAUACUAAAAGUAUUUGAGUAAACACCAUGAUAAGACUUUGGGCUGUAGGACCGUGUCUCUGAGUUUGGGGCCUGUUCAAGAAGUCCUUGCAAGAAAGGAGAGUCAGUUUUACCUUUAGAAAACCUCCUGUCCUACUUUGUUAGUUUUUAACUUUAACAGACAAAAGUUCAAGUUCUUCAUCCCAAGUCAAGGUGAUGUGAGGAAACUAUGACUGUGAAUCUCACUGUCAUUUAUUUUUCUUCAGUAUGUCUCAGUGAUAAAAAUAUUUGGAUGAAUGACAGAAAGCAUCCUGAACUGUGCACCUGCAAAAGAUAUUUCACACAUUCCUUUUUGGACAUUUUGUUAUUUUCCUCUAAGCCGAAAGCCUUUCCAUCUUGUGCAGGAAAGAUCAUUAAGCAUUUCAAAAGUAUAAACAUUUCAUGUUCAAAACUUUUGGUACUUCAAUUGUCAUAUUGUUAUUGCACUAUAUAAAUCUAAAAUAAAAUGAACUUCUCUGUCCAGUACCUAUCAGCUGCAAUUUAAGGGAAGUGCCUUUAUAUUUAUACCCUAUGGGCCCAAUCAGGUAGAUAAGAGAAUUAUUCUUUAUUUUUUAUUUUUUUGUAGUUUGUUUGUAGAAAGUGAUUUAUUUAAAGAGAGAGAGAAACAGGAGAAGGAGAGAGAAGAAACAGCUAACUCUCACACUGAGUAAGAUAAUCUAGAAAGAUGGAAUCCAGGAGAGGAAAGCAGCUUCCACACUGAAUGGAAGGGAAUAGAGAGAGAUGGAGUUUAGGAGGGGGAGACAGGCUUCCACGAGAGAGUGUGGAAGAGGACUCCAGAGGGGAAAUUCAGGAGAGAGAAAGAUGGCUUCCAUGAAGGGAGUGUUUGUGAAAGGGAAUUCAAACAUGGAGUCCCGAGAAUUAUUCUUUAUCUUGUGUAAUGUCCCCAGAUUUCCCAGGUCACAAAUCACAGACAGGCAAUGUGGUAGCAUUCUUCUGGGUACUCAACAGAUAACUCCUCAAAGUACUUUUGUCAAUGUAAAUUUGUGAUCAGUGUGAAUCCUAAAAUGUUAGUAUUAAUAGUAUAGUUAUAUGUUUGCAUUAUGAAUCAUUUUUGUAAGUAACAUGUCAUUAUAUUAUCGCAAAAAUUCUGUCAAGUUCAAGGAUGCCAUCUCUCUCCACUCUUAUUCAAUAUAGUAUUGGAAGUUUUAACCAGAGCAAUCAGGCAAGGAAAAGAAAUAAAGGGUAUUCAAUUAGGAAAGGAGGAAGUCAAAGUCUCUCUAUUUGCAGACAACAUGAUUGUAUAUCUAGAAGACCCCAUCAUCUCAGCCCAAAAUCUUUUUAAGCUGAUAAGCAACUUCAGCAGUCUCAGAAUAGAAAAUCAAUGUGCAGAAAUCACAAGCAUUUCUAUGCACCAAUAACAGACUUAAAGAGAGCCAAAUCAAGAGUGAACUCCCAUUCACAAUGGCUACAAGAAGAAUUAAACACCUAAGAAUACAACUAACAAAGAAGGUAAUGGACCUCUUCAAGUAAAACUAUAAACCACUGCUCACAGAAAUAAGAGAAGACCGAAACAGAUGGAAAAACAUUCCAUGCUCAUGGUCAGGAAUAAUCAAUACUCUGAAAAUGGCCAUACUACCCAAUGUAAUUUAUAGAUUUAACACUAUCCCAUCAAACUACCAAUGACCUUCACAGAACUGGAAAAAACCACUUUAAACUUCAUAUGGAAUGAAAAAAGAGCCCACAUAUCCAAGAAAAUCCUAAGCAAAAAGAACAAAGCUGGAAGCAUCACGCUGCUGGACUUCAAGCUAUAUUACAAGGCAACAGUAAUCAAGACAGCAUGGUACUGUUAUCAAAACAGAGAUAUAGACCAAUGGAACAGAACAGAGGCCUCUGGAGCAAAAUCACACAUCUACAACUAUCUGUUCUUUGACAAAUUGGACAAAAACAAGCAAUGGGGAAAGGAUCCCCUGUUUAAUAAAUGGUGUUGGGAAAAUUGGCUAGCAAUGUGCAGAAAGCAGAAACUGGACCCCUUCCUGACACCUUACACUAAAAUUCACUCCAGAGGGAUUAAGGACUUAAACAUAAGACCUAACACCAUAAAAACCCUAGAAGAAAACCUAGGCAAAACCAUUCAGAACAUAGGUAUAGGCAAGGACUUCAUGACUGAAUCACCAAAAGCAAUGGCAACAAAAGCCAAAAUAGACAAAUGGGAUCUAAUUUAACUUCAGAGCUUCUGUACAGCAAAAGAAACAAUCAUUUAAAGUGAACCAACAACCAACAGAAUGGGAAAAUAUUUUUUCAAUCUACCCAUCUGACAAAGGGCUAAUAUCCAGAAUCUACAAAGAACUGAAACAGAUUUACCAAAAAAAAAAAAACUAAUCCAAAAGUGGGAGAAGGGUAUGAACAGACACUUUUCAAAAGAAGACAUAUAUGAAGCCAACAAACAUAUGAAAAAAUGCUCAUCAUCACUGGUCAUUAGAGUAAUGCAAACCAAAACCACAUUGAGAUACAAACUCAUGCCAGUUAGAAUGGCAAUCAUUAAAAAAUCUGGAGACAACAGAUGCUGGAGAGGAUGUGGAGAAACAGGAACACUUUUACACUGUUGGUGAAAGUGUAAAUUAGUUCAACCAUUGUGGAAGACAGUGUGGCGAUCCCUCAAGGCUUUAGAAACAGAAAUUCCAUUUGCCCCAGCAAUCCCAUUACUAAGUAUAUACCCAAAGGACUAUAAAGCGUUCUAUUAUAAAGACACAUGCACACAUAUGUUCAUUGCAGCACUCUUUACAAUAGCAAAGACCUGGAACCAACCCAAAUGCCCAUCAGUGAUAGCCUGGACAAAGAAAAUGUGACACAUAUACACCAUGGAAUACUGUGUAGCCAUAAAAAACAAUAAGUUUGUGUCCUUUGUAGGGACAUGGCUGAAUCUGGAAACCAUCAUUCUCAGCAAACUGACACAAGAACAAAAAAUCAAACACUGCAUGUUCUGACUCACAGGCGGGUGUUGAACAAUGAGAACACUUGGACACAAGGAGGAGAGCAUCACACA